UNCCACGUGUAGCAGUGAAAUGCGUAGAGAUGUGGAGGAAUACCGAUGGCGAAGGCAGCCUCCUGGGAUAACACUGACGUUCAUGCCCGAAAGCGUGGGUAGCAAACAGGAUUAGAUACCCUGGUAGUNCACGCCCUAAACGAUGUCGAUUAGCUGUUGGGCAGCAUGACUGCUUAGUAGCGAAGCUAACGCGUGAAAUCGACCGCCUGGGGAGUACGGUCGCAAGAUUAAAACUCAAAGGAAUUGACGGGGACCCGCACAAGCGGUGGAUGAUGUGGAUUAAUUCGAUGCAACGCGAAGAACCUUACCUGGUCUUGACAUGUACGGAACCCUCCAGAGACGGAGGGGUGCCUUCGGGAGCCGUAACACAGGUGCUGCAUGGCUGUCGUCAGCUCGUGUCGUGAGAUGUUGGGUUAAGUCCCGCAACGAGCGCAACCCUUGUCAUUAGUUGCCAUCAUUAAGUUGGGCACUCUAAUGAGACUGCCGGUGACAAGCCGGAGGAAGGUGGGGAUGACGUCAAGUCCUCAUGGCCCUUAUGACCAGGGCUUCACACGUCAUACAAUGGUCGGUACAGAGGGUAGCCAAGCCGCGAGGCGGAGCCAAUCUCACAAAACCGAUCGUAGUCCGGAUUGCACUCUGCAACUCGAGUGCAUGAAGUCGGAAUCGCUAGUAAUCGCAGGUCAGCAUACUGCGGUGAAUACGUUCCCGGGUCUUGUACACACCGC
rnacentral:rRNA from 1 species